UCUGAAAGAAAUCAAGAAACAAUGGGA
rnacentral:piRNA from 1 species